rnacentral:rRNA from 1 species
GAUGAACGCUGGCGGCGUGCUUAACACAUGCAAGUCGAACGAGGUCCAACCUUUCGGGUGAAGACCGAGUGGCGAACGGGUGAGUAACACGUGGGGGAACCUACCCUUCUCUCUGGGAUAACGUCGAGAAAUCGGCGCUAAUACCGGAUACUCCUUGCGGAUCGCAUGGUCUGCUUUGGGAAAGCUCCGGCGGAGAGGGACGGCCCCGCGGCCCAUUAGCUAGUUGGUGAGGUAACGGCCCACCAAGGCGACGAUGGGUAGCCGAGCUGAGAGGCUGAUCGGCCACACUGGGACUGAGACACGGCCCAGACUCCUACGGGAGGCAGCAGUGGGGAAUCUUGCGCAAUGGGCGAAAGCCUGACGCAGCAACGCCGCGUGCGGGAUGAAGGCCCUCGGGUCGUAAACCGCUUUCAGCAGGGAUGAAACUGACAGUACCUGCAGAAGAAGCCCCGGCUAAAUACGUGCCAGCAGCCGCGGUAAUACGUAUGGGGCAAGCGUUAUCCGGAUUUAUUGGGCGUAAAGCGCGCGUAGGCGGCUUGUUAAGUCAGAUGUGAAAUCCGGGGGCUCAACCCGCGGCUUGCAUCUGAAACUGGCAGGCUUGAGUCUGGUAGAGGAAAGUGGAAUUCCUGGUGUAGCGGUGAAAUGCGCAGAUAUCAGGAGGAACACCAGUGGCGAAGGCGGCUUUCUGGGCCACGACUGACGCUGAGGCGCGAAAGCUAGGGGAGCGAACAGGAUUAGAUACCCUGGUAGUCCUAGCCGUAAACGAUGGGCACUAGGUGUGGGGGGUCAUCGACUCCCUCCGUGCCGAAGCUAACGCAUUAAGUGCCCCGCCUGGGGAGUACGGCCGCAAGGCUAAAACUCAA